GGCACAGUGUAGUGUAGUGGUUUGAGCAUUGGACUAUGACUCUGGAGGCCAGAGUUCAAUUCUCUGCUCAGCCA
rnacentral:tRNA from 1 species